rnacentral:lncRNA from 1 species
UUUCUCAAUCAAAGUAUGCAUCUUCUUGAUCUCUGCAAUUUCUUCUCUGUCAUGCGAUUUUGAUGGAUCGAAGAAUCCGGCCACCACAACAAGAUUCACCAUAUUUCUCAACCUCUUGUUUUUUCCAUACCAUUCGGUCAGUCCUGUAAUGUUUUUCACAGUAUCAAGUCUUGCCAUUGAGAAGAUUAUUGGUUUCUUCCUGUCUGCCAGAUAUCCACUGUCCCAGACAUUGUUAGUUUCAACAGUAAGCAUUUUAAGCUUCUUUUCUGGUAUUAUUAGUGUUAUGCAUGAGAUGAAACAAACUGGGAGACUUACAUGUGCUCACUGUUAUCCUCUUUGCUGUAGAGUAGUUCCUCAAUGUCAGGAUGAAAUGAGGUUAGCCGUUUUUGUUUCUCAGUGUAGGGAAAGUAGACAGAUUGAUCAGCCCCAGGGGCAGCUAUGUUGAACUUUGGAUCAAAGACAUUGAUGCCUGAAACAACCCGACAAAGUCCUGG